rnacentral:rRNA from 1 species
AGUGAACGCUGGCGGUAGGCCUAACACAUGCAAGUCGAACGGCAGCACAGUAAGAGCUUGCUCUUACGGGUGGCGAGUGGCGGACGGGUGAGGAAUACAUCGGAAUCUACUUUUUCGUGGGGGAUAACGUAGGGAAACUUACGCUAAUACCGCAUACGCCCUACGGUGGAAAGCAGGGGAUCUUCGGACCUUGCGCGAUUGAAUGAGCCGAUGUCGGGUUAGCUAGUUGGCGGGGUAAAGGCCCACCAAGGCGACGAUCCGUAGCUGGUCUGAGAGGAUGAUCAGCCACACUGGAACUGGGACACGGUCCAGACUCCUACGGGAGGCAGCAGUGGGGAAUAUUGGACAAUGGGCGCAAGCCUGAUCCAGCCAUACCGCGUGGGUGAAGAAGGCCUUCGGGUUGUAAAGCCCUUUUGUUGGGAAAGAAAAGCAGCAGGUUAAUACCCCGCUGUUCUGACGGUACCCAAAGAAUAAGCACCGGCUAACUUCGUG